rnacentral:rRNA from 1 species
GUAACACGUGGGUAAUCUGCCCUGCACUCUGGGAUAAGCCUUGGAAACGAGGUCUAAUACCGGAUAUGACAUACGGCCGCAUGGUCUGUGUGUGGAAAGUUCCGGCGGUGCAGGAUGAACCCGCGGCCUAUCAGCUUGUUGGUGGGGUAGUGGCCUACCAAGGCGACGACGGGUAGCCGGCCUGAGAGGGUGACCGGCCACACUGGGACUGAGACACGGCCCAGACUCCUACGGGAGGCAGCAGUGGGGAAUCUUGCGCAAUGGGCGAAAGCCUGACGCAGCAACGCCGCGUGGGGGAUGACGGCCUUCGGGUUGUAAACCUCUUUCGACAGGGACGAAGCUUUCGGGUGACGGUACCUGUAGAAGAAGCACCGGCUAACUACGUGCCAGCAGCCGCGGUAAUACGUAGGGUGCGAGCGUUGUCCGGAUUUAUUGGGCGUAAAGAGCUCGUAGGCGGUUUGUCGCGUCGGCCGUGAAAACCUGCAGCUUAACUGUGGGCGUGCGGUCGAUACGGGCAGACUUGAGUUCGGCAGGGGAGACUGGAAUUCCUGGUGUAGCGGUGAAAUGCGCAGAUAUCAGGAGGAACACCGGUGGCGAAGGCGGGUCUCUGGGCCGAUACUGACGCUGAGGAGCGAAAGCAUGGGGAGCGAACAGGAUUAGAUACCCUGGUAGUCCAUGCCGUAAACGUUGGGCGCUAGGUGUGGGGAUGGG